rnacentral:rRNA from 1 species
GAUGAACGCUGGCGGCGUGCCUAAUACAUGCAAGUCGAGCGAACAGAUGAGGAGCUUGCUCCUCUGACGUUAGCGGCGGACGGGUGAGUAACACGUGGAUAACCUACCUAUAAGACUGGGAUAACUUCGGGAAACCGGAGCUAAUACCGGAUAAUAUAUUGAACCGCAUGGUUCAAUAGUGAAAGACGGUUUUGCUGUCACUUAUAGAUGGAUCCGCGCCGCAUUAGCUAGUUGGUAAGGUAACGGCUUACCAAGGCAACGAUGCGUAGCCGACCUGAGAGGGUGAUCGGCCUCACUGGAACUGAGACACGGUCCAGACUCCUACGGGAGGCAGCAGUAGGGAAUCUUCCGCAAUGGGCGAAAGCCUGACGGAGCAACGCCGCGUGAGUGAUGAAGGUCUUCGGAUCGUAAAACUCUGUUAUUAGGGAAGAACAAAUGUGUAAGUAACUAUGCACGUCUUGACGAUACCUAAUCAGAAAGCCACGGCUAACUACGUG